AUUCAUAAGAUUGAGGCAGGAACAUUUUGAUCUCUUCACUGGAGCUAAAAAUACAGCCUUAUAUGGUUGGAGAUUUAUUCUGGAGAAAAUGGACCUGCCCAGUAAAAUAACACCAGCACAAGCAAAGAAAAAGUGGGACAAUUAAAAAAAAAAGUAUAAAGAAUGCAAACAUCCAGGGUCAGGUGAGGGCCUGAACAACGGAAAGCCAACUGCUGAAACCUGGCCGUGGUUUGUUCUAAUGGAUGAGAUGUUGGAUCAGAGGCCUUCCAUUUCUCCCCCUGUUCUCAUUGCUUCACUGCCUGAUGACGAACCACAGCCAGGUUGCAGUUCUGUUGAGCCUACCCAGGAAGCAGAACAGCAGGAGAGGGCAGGUAUAGAGCA